rnacentral:rRNA from 1 species
CAGCCGCCGCGGUAAUACGUAGGGGGCGAGCGUUACCCGGAUUCACUGGGCGUAAAGGGGGUGUAGGCGGCUCGGUAAGUCGGGUGUGAAAUCCCACGGCUCAACCGUGGAAUUGCGCCCGAAACUGCCGAGCUUGGGGCCGGUAGAGGGAGACGGAACUGCCGGUGUAGGGGUGAAAUCCGUAGAUAUCGGCAGGAACGCCGGUGGGGAAGCCGGUCUCCUGGGCCGCGCCCGACGCUGAGGCCCGAAAGCUAGGGGAGCAAACCGGAUUAGAUACCCGGGUAGUCCUAGCCGUAAACGAUGCCCACUAGGUGUGGGGGAGUAUUUCCUCCGUGCUGUAACUAACGCGUUAAGUGGGCCGCCUGGGGAGUACGCCCGCAAGGGUGAAACUUAAAGGAAUUGGCGGG